rnacentral:tRNA from 1 species
GGUUCCAUAGAGUAGUGGUUAGCACAUCUGCUUUACACGCAGUAGGUCCUGGAUUUGAGCCCUAGUGGAGCCA